rnacentral:rRNA from 1 species
UACGUAGGGUGCGAGCGUUGUCCGGAAUUAUUGGGCGUAAAGCGUGCGCAGGCGGCGCCGCAAGUCAGGCGUGAAAUCCCCGAGCUUAACUUGGGAAUGGCGCUUGAAACUACGGUGCUGGAGUGUGGCAGAGGGAGGUGGAAUUCCACGUGUAGCGGUGAAAUGCGUAGAGAUGUGGAGGAACACCGAUGGCGAAGGCAGCCUCCUGGGCCAACACUGACGCUCAUGCACGAAAGCGUGGGGAGCAAACAGG